GAAAUUUAGAAAAACAAAACAAAACAAAAACCAAACAAACAAAAAAAUGGUUUUAGUACAACCUAGGUCACAUUCUUCUCAUGUUGGUUGCUGCAUAGUCGGAAGGGGUUACGUCAAGGGAAAUUGACACCUACCCUUCUCAUUUGCUCUUUGAUUUGCACACUCAUCAGAAGACUAGAGCCAUUUGAUACUUCACAAGAUGAUUCCCCUUAGCAGACACUGAGGGAAGGGGGAGUCACCUGGCCCCAGCAUCUGGUAACUGUUCCCAUUUCAACUGUUGACUCAAUAAAUGCCCUUGGGCAAGUCACUGAACCUCUCCACAUUUAGUCUCUGGGGAAUGAAAUCUGCCAACUGUAUUAUGUGGGUUUGAACCUCACUGCCCUCUGGGAUAAAAAUAGGAGAGGACCAGGUGUCAGCUGGUCCCAAACUGAUGUAAGGAUGGCGGCCAUGGGAUCUCAAAGAUGUCCUUGAGCUAUAAAUUCUAUAAUAGGGUCACGGGACACAGAGGCCCUCAGGCAUUUAUUUGGCUUGUGUGAUAAAUUCCAGCCCUUGAAAUUUUUCCAGCCACUCUUGAAUACUCUGCCUGGCCCCGCCCCCACUCCUCAGUAUUUCUCCCGCCAUAAUACUCAACUCUGAAUGCUGUUGCUUUGUCACAAAACUCUUGGACCGUAAACUUCCCAAGGGAGGAGAUAACGUCAGCACAAGCUUCAUUGUCAAGUACACACCAGGCAAGUGGGCAUACUACGUGAAUUGUUUGCCAUAUGGACGAGUGAAUGAAGACUUCCCAGGCUCCAGAGAACAUUCCACUCCUCUGCCUCUGGGAUCAUCCAUCCCUGGCCAACAUAAGGAGGAAGUAGCUUGUCUUCAUCAGAUGCCCCGACCUUUCCUCAAGUCAUUGAAACCAACAGGAAGCACUUGCCUCCAGGUCACAAGGGAGGAUUCAUCCUCAGUGACCUUCCAGCCACCCGCGUGGGUCUCGCUACCUCUCUCACUGCCGCUUCUCACUUGUUAUCCAACUCAUUGUUCAAGAGAACCUGGUGCUGAGACCAAGAACCCUCAGGUUCCCUCUUAGUAGCAAGAGAAUUAUUUCCAACAAAUUUUAGACCUAACUGGAACAGAUAAAAAUGAUAAAGUUA
rnacentral:lncRNA from 1 species